UACAGAGGUCUCAAGCGUUGUUCGGAUUCAUUGGGCGUAAAGGGUGCGUAGGCGGCGCGGUAAGUCGGGUGUGAAAUCUCGGAGCUUAACUCCGAAACUGCAUUCGAUACUGCCGUGCUUGAGGACUGGAGAGGAGACUGGAAUUUACGGUGUAGCGGUGAAAUGCGUAGAUAUUGGGAGGAACACCAGUGGCGAAGGCAGCUCGCUGGGACGGUACUGACGCUGAGGCGCGAAAGCGUGGGGAGCGAACAGG
rnacentral:rRNA from 1 species